UCUCUGAUAGUAUAUUGGCUAGUACACCCGCCUGUCAUAGAAGUACAUAGCAACAGCGCAAGGAUUCUCUCUCGCGGGAGAGCUGGGUUCGAUUCCCAAUCAGAGAG